rnacentral:misc_RNA from 1 species
CAGGGAGAUCCGACGGAUGAAGAGUAGUAUGAAACGUGGAAAUAGUUUUGCAUUCCUUACAUUGGACAUUAAUGAACUUGAGCAUUCAAAACAGGUCAAUUUGCCUCGAGUCACAGUUGUAAUGCCUUUAAAAGGGUUUGGCGAGCACAAUCUACACAACUGGAGAAGUCAGAUCACGUCUCUUUAUGGUGGUCCUUUGGAGUUCCUUUUUGUGGUUGAAAGUACUGCUGAUCCUGCUUAUCAUGCUGUGAAGUGUUUAUUAGCGGAUUUUAAGGAUGCUGUUGAGGCUAAGGUUAUUGUAGCUGG